CUGGCAUCAAAUAGUUUAUAUAACAACUAAAAACAGUUAAAAUUGGCGCCAAAAAAUGAGCAGCCAAUCACAGUUAAGAUAAGAAUAAAAUAAUUAAAACAGAAACAUAACUGGUGACAUAUAACAUACUAGUAUUGUGUAUGACAUAAGGGGUUAUAUGGCAUAAAUAUGCAUAAAAAACGAGGGUUAUAUAAAUAAAUAGAGAGCUUAUUUGCCGAUCACGUGAUCGGGAGAGAGAACGUAGUGCAUGCUGGGAC